AGCGAACGCUGGCGGCAGGCCUAACACAUGCAAGUCGAACGGACCCUUCGGGGUUAGUGGCGGACGGGUGAGUAACACGUGGGAACGUGCCCUUAGGUUCGGAAUAGCUCCUGGAAACGGGUGGUAAUGCCGAAUGUGCCCUUCGGGGGAAAGAUUUAUCGCCUUUAGAGCGGCCCGCGUCUGAUUAGCUAGUUGGUGAGGUAAUGGCUCACCAAGGCGACGAUCAGUAGCUGGUCUGAGAGGAUGUCCAGCCACAUUGGGACUGAGACACGGCCCAAACUCCUACGGGAGGCAGCAGUGGGGAAUCCUGCGCAAUGGGCGAAAGCCUGACGCAGCCAUGCCGCGUGGAUGAUGAAGGUCUUAGGAUUGUAAAAUCCUUUCACCGGUGAAGAUAAUGACUGUAGCCGGAGAAGAAGCCCCGGCUAACUUCGUGCCAGCCGCCGCAGUAAAAC
rnacentral:rRNA from 1 species